AUACGUAGGGGGCGAGCGUUGUCCGGAAUGAUUGGGCGUAAAGGGCGCGUAGGCGGCCCGGUAAGUCUGGAGUGAAAGUCCUGUUUUUAAGAUGGGAAUUGCUUUGGAUACUGUCGGGCUUGAGUGCAGGAGAGGUAAGUGGAAUUCCUAGUGUAGCGGUGAAAUGCGUAGAGAUUGGGAGGAACACCAGUGGCGAAGGCGACUUACUGGACUGUAACUGACGCUGAGGCGCGAAAGUGUGGGGAGCAAACAGGAUUAGAUACCCUGGUAGUCCACACUGUAAACGAUGAAUGCUAGGUGUAGGGGGUAUCGACCCCUUCUGUGCCGCAGUCAACACAAUAAGCAUUCCGCCUGGGGAGUACGGCCGCAAGGUUGAAACUCAAAUGAAUUGGCGGGG
rnacentral:rRNA from 1 species